CGCUGCAUUAGCUAGUUGGUAAGGUAACGGCUUACCAAGGCAACGAUGCAUAGCCGACCUGAGAGGGUGAUCGGCCACACUGGAACUGAGACACGGUCCAGACUCCUACGGGAGGCAGCAGUAGGGAAUCUUCCGCAAUGGGCGAAAGCCUGACGGAGCAACGCCGCGUGAGUGAUGAAGGUCUUCGGAUCGUAAAACUCUGUUAUUAGGGAAGAACAUAUGUGUAAGUAACUGUGCACAUCUUGACGGUACCUAAUCAGAAAGCCACGGCUAACUACGUGCCAGCAGCCGCGGUAAUACGUAGGUGGCAAGCGUUAUCCGGAAUUAUUGGGCGUAAAGCGCGCGUAGGCGGUUUCUUAAGUCUGAUGUGAAAGCCCACGGCUCAACCGUGGAGGGUCAUUGGAAACUGGGAAACUUGAGUGCAGAAGAGGAAAGUGGAAUUCCAUGUGUAGCGGUGAAAUGCGCAGAGAUAUGGAGGAACACCAGUGGCGAAGGCGACUUUCUGGUCUGUAACUGACGCUGAUGUGCGAAAGCGUGGGGAUCAAACAGGAUUAGAUACCCUGGUAGUCCACGCCGUAAACGAUGAGUGCUAAGUGUUAGGGGGUUUCCGCCCCUUAGUGCUGCAGCUAACGCAUUAAGCACUCCGCCUGGGGAGUACGACCGCAAGGUU
rnacentral:rRNA from 1 species